rnacentral:lncRNA from 1 species
CACUGAACAUGACCGACUUCGGAGCUAUCUCUGCUGUCAAGAUUUGCUCCGAUGGGAUAUGGGUAUAAAUAUCCCUCCAACCUGAGACCACCACGGUGACUUGCAAGCAACUCACUGUACUUAGGCACUGGACUACCUGAAUUUCUAAUUCAGUGACGGAAGGCUGCUGGGUGUAGUCAAGUACUUGACUUGUCGGUGCGUAUGUCAAGAUGGGAUUGACCACUCCAGUUC